rnacentral:misc_RNA from 1 species
GAUGAAGAACGCAGCGAAAUGCGAUAAGUAAUGUGAAUUGCAGAAUUCAGUGAAUCAUCGAAUCUUUGAACGCACAUUGCGCCCGCCAGUAUUCUGGCGGGUAUGCCUGUUCGAGCGUCAUUACAACCCUCAGGCCCCCGGGCCUGGCGUUGGGGAUCGGCGGAAGCCCCCUGCGGGCACAACGCCGUCCCCCAAAUACAGUGGCGGUCCCGCCGCAGCUUCCAUUGCGUAGUAGCUAACACCUCGCAACUGGAGAGCGGCGCGGCCACGCCGUAAAACACCCAACUUCUGAAUGUUGACCUCGAAUCAGGUAGGAAUACCCGCUGAACUUAAGCAUAUCAAUAAGCGGAGGA